UACGAAGGGGGCGAGCGUUGUUCGGAAUUACUGGGCGUAAAGGGCGCGUAGGCGGCGCGAGAAGUCAGGCGUGAAAGCCCCGGGCUCAACCUGGGAGGUGCGCUUGGGACUCUUGUGCUUGAGUUCGGGAGAGGAGCGUGAAAUUCCCAGUGUAGAGGUGAAAUUCGUAGAUAUUGGGAAGAACACCGGUGGCGAAGGCGGGUCUCUGGGCCGAUACUGACGCUGAGGAGCGAAAGCGUGGGGAGCAAACAGG
rnacentral:rRNA from 1 species